AGGGUCCUGUUGAACCAUGUUUUUUAGAAUGUCUAUUAAGUGCGGUAAGAACAUAAAUUUUGGGUCUCGAGGAGUUUGAUUUGGCGUAUGUGAUCGCAUUUGAUCUCUUGGUCAGGCUUUGCCCGACUUAUAUAGUUUGUAGGUGGGUUCACAGCUCCAAACUCUUCAUAUCCAUAUCUUUCAGUUUAGGUACCGAUUCUGUCAUGUAUGUCCAGGAAAGGAAUCCAAGAGAUAUUUUGCACAAUUGGGUAGCAGAGAAAGUGCUUCAAUUCUGAUUUCGGCAGACAUGAUCUGUUCAUCUAAAGGUACACAGACAUAUAAACAUAUGGUAACAGCACACAACACAAUCCGCUGAUUACAGACUUGAUAGAAGACAAUAUGCAAGAACUUUGAUGGUAGUCACGACUCUAAAAUCAUGCUAAGAAACUCUGGACAAAUUGAAAGAGAUACAAGCUCAAGCAUCCAAAGAAGCUAAAGAGGAUUAUCAAAGAGUUAAGAAAGCCCAUAAGAUGUUUGAGACCCUAAGAGACCUACCAUGUCCUACCGUCGAGCUCCGUCAUGUAUUGUCAUCUACUAUCAAACUUCAUUGUGUGUUGCCGCUGGUACUGUUCUCGAGCUCUAUUAGUGGGGAAAUGUUUAUGCAAAAGAAAAUGUACAUGUCUAAAACAACCAACCAUUAGAUUAAACAUGAAUGAAUGACUCAAUUCACCUUAGAUGCAAUCUCAAUCACACAGUAUACCAACAUUUCAACAUUCAAUCACUAAAAAUGAUUCAAAGUCCCUAACUCAACUCAACAUGCCAUAUUUCAUCAGCACAAACACCAAUACUAGGGGAUUUUAAUCAAUUUCAAGCAACUCAAACAUGCAACUCAGAUUCUCAACACAUCAUACACUUAAAUUAGGGUAAUUUAGCUUUCCUUACUUGAUAGAUGACUAAAUCGCUCUAGAAAGCCUAAAAUAGCUCCAAAUGCUUAGGAAGGUCUAUUUAUUCCUAUGAACCACAAAAGCACGAUCAGGAUAUAUCGUUAGGACCACUAAUCAGAAGAGAGUCUUAUAGAAGACUCAAACUUUACAUGCAAAACAAAAAGGGCUAACAUGGGAGAAGCAAUAGACCUAAAAAGAGGAGCAGAAAACCAACUAACUUUGUUUGAGAAAUUGAUCAGUUAGACUUGAAGAUCUCGCUGCGGAGAUCACUUUGGCGGUCUCUGAUCUUCAAACACAUGAACAGGGAGUGAGAACUCUAAGAGAGAAGUCAGAUAACUCUAGAAAAGUGAUUUUUAGAGAGAUGAUAUGUUUUAAAAUAAUGAAACUCGUCCAUAACGAAACUAUUUAUAUUAAAAUCAUUUAAUACUAAAAAUAACUGAGUUUCAUUGUUUUUAAACCACUGUCACCUCUAAAUUGUCAUAGUUUAAGUCUUUACAUUCUUCCCAAGAAGAAAAAAUUUUAUCCUCGAAAAUUAACUCAUCAAAUAAAAAGAAAAGUAUGCUCUCUGCAUUCUUUCUUAUCAUAAACACCCAGCUUGAUCGAGAUAUUAUCAUCAACACUUAACUGAAUGAAAACAUUGCCUUUACACUAAAUUCUCUAGUGUUCAAGAGUGUAGAUUGGUCUAGCCACUACUCUUAAAACAACUCCUUAAUCGUCAAACCUAAUCUUUUAAGGAUCUUUUUUAUAUCGGAUCAAACAAUUUGUAUCUGUCAAACUAAAUUGACCUCCCAAAUGUCUUCCACUAACUCUUAUAAGUUAUUUCCAAAACUUUAGCUAGCAUUGACUUCAAACUAAAGUCUUCCCGAUAUCGCUUACAUAAUCUUUCAUCCUCUUUGAAGUACUACAGAGCUGACUUGAUCAUAUACAACUCUGAUCUACUAUCAAACACUGACACUCUUGAUUCAUCCUUAUUCACAACUGCUUUAAUAACAUAAUUAACAUUUAUAUAAUUAAAUAAAUAUAAAUACAAAUAAACUUAAUCUUGUUAAAAAUAUUUGUAAAGAUCUAUAUAUAAAUGAAAUUUUGUUUGAAUUUGGGGAGGGACAAAAUAGUUUAAUUUAAAAAAAAAUUAAGACUAAAUUGAAACAAAAUAAAAAUACAGAGAUCAAAUUAAGACUAAUGCAAUGACAUGUGGUCAUGUGUCACAAUGCUAGUUUGACACAUGACAAUUUUUUUAUUUAAAAAAAACAAAAAAAAAGAUAAAAACAUAAAAAGUAUUUAAAAAAUUAAAAAAAAUUGCAAACGGACACGUGACACCCUCUUUAACUAUGUUAGUACAAAACUAACACGAAGGACCUAAUUGCUUCAACUUUUAAAAAUAAAAACUCAAUUAAGACAAAA